rnacentral:rRNA from 1 species
AUUGAACGCUGGCGGCAGGCCUAACACAUGCAAGUCGAGCGGAUGAAGGGAGCUUGCUCCUGGAUUCAGCGGCGGACGGGUGAGUAAUGCCUAGGAAUCUGCCUGGUAGUGGGGGAUAACGUCCGGAAACGGGCGCUAAUACCGCAUACGUCCUGAGGGAGAAAGUGGGGGAUCUUCGGACCUCACGCUAUCAGAUGAGCCUAGGUCGGAUUAGCUAGUUGGUGGGGUAAAGGCCUACCAAGGCGACGAUCCGUAACUGGUCUGAGAGGAUGAUCAGUCACACUGGAACUGAGACACGGUCCAGACUCCUACGGGAGGCAGCAGUAGGGAAUAUUGGACAAUGGGCGAAAGCCUGAUCCAGCCAUGCCGCGUGUGUGAAGAAGGUCUUCGGAUUGUAAAGCACUUUAAGUUGGGAGGAAGGGCAGUAAGUUAAUACCUUGCUGUUUUGACGUUACCAACAGAGUAAGCACCGGCUAACUUCGUG